UACGAAGGGGGGCUAGCGUUGCUCGGAAUCACUGGGCGUAAAGGGCGCGUAGGCGGCCGGCCAAGUCGGGGGUGAAAGCCUGUGGCUCAACCACAGAAUGGCCCUCGAUACUGGACGGCUCGAGACCGGAAGAGGUUGGUGGAAUUGCGAGUGUAGAGGUGAAAUUCGUAGAUAUUCGCAAGAACACCGGUGGCGAAGGCGGCCAACUGG
rnacentral:rRNA from 1 species